rnacentral:lncRNA from 1 species
CCACUUCUUUUGUUCCCGUUCAAAAGCAGCCAGCAGGUCUGUUGCAUUUGAUGACCUUUACAUAAUGCUGCCUUGUCUUCCUCAGUGGCCUGGAAAGUACAGCUAAUGUACCUGAGAGGAUUCGUAGACAGGAGUCACCAGUGUUGUCCUUCAGCUGUGUGACUGCAGAGCACCUGCUGAGUGUGUUUGCAGCAUCCGGGGUUCUGUUUUCCAGUGGAAACCCUAAGGGGGCCAGACUGUCUCUGUUUUCUCCUGGGGCUCGCUGCAACACAGGCUUUCCCCGCCGGGAUACUUCUCCCCUUCGCUUGAGAGCGCUCUGCAGGAGGCUUCACUAUCUUUGCCCAACAAGUCCACUGACAUCUGGAGGAUGGGAUUGAGUGCAUUCUUAGCAAAUGUGCAGAUGACACGAAGUUGGAUAGAGUUGCAGAUACUCUGAAGACUAGGGCUAGGAUCCAGAAUGACCUGGAUAGACUGGAGAAAUGGUUCACAAUCAAUCCAAAGAUAUUCAUCAAGGCCCCAGACUAUUCAAUGACUUCCAGAGGUGUAGCAAGCUCUUCCAGUGCCUGGAGCAGAGGUUUUUGUUUGUGUCUGGUGCGGGGUUGGGGGGAAUUAUGCUGACCACUGGAGAGUGGGUAGAGGAGAGGGUCACACGGAGAGGGAGAGAAGUCUUACCUGCCCCAGUUUUCCUUGCUUGGGUUGCAGCUGCUACUGCUGUGGAUGUUACUGCUGAGGGAUGAGUAGCAUGGGCUUCCUGGGGGCCUGUUUGCUGCUCCCCACCCCCAGCGGAUACAGGGUUGUUUCUUCCAUGGCAAAGCCUCCUGGGGAGGACAGCAAUAGGGAUGAUCCUGCCUCAGGCAGGGGGCUAGACUAGAUGACCACUGGAGUUUGCUUCCAGCCUGACUUCUCUAUGAUUCCCCACAAAUACACUACUGGGAAAAGGGCUGCAUCUGUCCAGAUCCUAUGGCCAGGCAGUGCAGGGCUAUGCCCACCAUGGCAAACACACCGGAGGGGGGAAGGAGACCAUACUGGCACCCCCUCUAAGUUGGUGUCCAGGGAUGGUGCCCCUCUCCCCCCCAUACCCCAAGUUAUGCUACUGAAGAAUUCAAUCUGAAACCAGUUUUUUGGCAAAUACACUAUUUGACUGAAAAAAUUCACCCAGGCCAGUAAACCCGGGUGUUAGUUAUUUGUCAGUAUUCCAACACCCGCCGUGUCCCAAUGAAAGCAUUCAUGAAUCCUGAACCUUUCCCAGGUGUUAGCAGAAAAGAUUAUUGGUUUGAAAAUUCAUGCCGGAAAGUCUGAUAGCUGUUAUUCACCAGUUGAAAGUGUACGUCAAAGCCAAUGCCAUGUGAAAUAGAAGCAAUGCCAUGUGACUAAGUGGACCCACUGACAGUGACUAUUCACCAGCAUGAUCACACCUACCUUGAUCAUAAAUUAGACCUACACGGAUUCCAACCUACCGAGUUAUAAGUCAUCAACCAGAUUUUGGGAAAUGUCAAGUGUCAUAGGAAAUGAUGAAAAUAGUCCAGACAGACUGUAAUGACCGUGAGCUCUGCCUUAGCUCCUCCUGG